rnacentral:lncRNA from 1 species
GUCAUAACACUGACUAUGGUAUAUCCACACAUGGCAUUCAUGCAAAUUCUCAUACUCAUAACUGAAAAGAAUCGAUUGAAAACGAGCAUAAACCUGUCCCUCACUCCUAUCCUGAACCAGUAUAAUUUAACUUGCUUCGAGUGGCAGCAUUAUAAAUUUCUGCAUGACCUAUGUGGUCAGUUCUGCAUUAUUAUUUGUCCAUUUGAGAUCCACCAGUGUAUAUUAUCAGAUCAGUGGAGUAUUUGUUUUC